rnacentral:misc_RNA from 1 species
GAUGAAGAACGUAGCGAAAUGCGAUACGUAGUGUGAAUUGCAGAAUUCAGUGAAUCAUCGAAUCUUUGAACGCACAUUGCACCUCUCGGUAUUCCGGGAGGUAUGCCUGUUCGAGCGUCAUUUGUACCCUCAAGCUCUGCUUGGUGUUGGGUGUUUGUUCCGCCUCUGUGUGUGAACUCGCCUCAAAACAAUUGGCAGCCGGCGUACUUGUUUCGGAGCGCAGGACAUUUUGCGAUCCAGAUCAACGUACAGCGGCAUCCAAGAAGCCUUAUUUAACGCUCUUGACCUCGGAUCAGGUAGGGAUACCCGCUGAACUUAAGCAUAUCAAUAAGCGGAGGA